rnacentral:rRNA from 1 species
GACGAACGCUGGCGGCGUGCCUAAUACAUGCAAGUCGAACGGGGUAAAGACUUCGGUUUUUACUUAGUGGCGAACGGGUGAGUAACGCGUGAGAAACCUGCCUUUCAGUGGGGGACGAACAGUUAGAAAUGACUGCUAAUACCGCAUAAUGUUAUUUGGGGCAUCCCUGAAUAACCAAAGCUUUAUGUGCUGAAAGGUGGUCUCGCGUCUGAUUAGCUAGAUGGCGGGGUAACGGCCCACCAUGGCGACGAUCAGUAGCCGGUCUGAGAGGAUGAACGGCCACAUUGGGACUGAGAUACGGCCCAG